CGGACGAGAAGCUUGCUUCUCUGAUGUUAGCGGCGGAGGGUGAGUAACACGUGGAUAACCUACCUAUAAGACUGGGAUAACUUCGGGAAACCGGAGCUAAUACCGGAUAAUAUUUUGAACCGCAUGGUUCAAAAGUGAAAGACGGUCUUGCUGUCACUUAUAGAUGGAUCCGCGCUGCAUUAGCUAGUUGGUAAGGUAACGGCUUACCAAGGCAACGAUGCAUAGCCGACCUGAGAGGGUGAUCGGCCACACUGGAACUGAGACACGGUCCAGACUCCUACGGGAGGCAGCAGUAGGGAAUCUUCCGCAAUGGGCGAAAGCCUGACGGAGCAACGCCGCGUGAGUGAUGAAGGUCUUCGGAUCGUAAAACUCUGUUAUUAGGGAAGAACAUAUGUGUAAGUAACUGUGCACAUCUUGACGGUACCUAAUCAGAAAGCCACGGCUAACUACGUGCCAGCAGCCGCGGUAAUACGUAGGUGGCAAGCGUUAUCCGGAAUUAUUGGGCGUAAAGCGCGCGUAGGCGGUUUUUUAAGUCUGAUGUGAAAGCCCACGGCUCAACCGUGGAGGGUCAUUGGAAACUGGAAAACUUGAGUGCAGAAGAGGAAAGUGGAAUUCCAUGUGUAGCGGUGAAAUGCGCAGAGAUAUGGGAGGAACACCAGUGGCGAAGGCGACUUUCUGGUCUGUAACUGACGCUGAUGUGCGAAAGCGUGGGGAUCAAACGGGAUUAGAUACCCUGGUAGUCCACGCCGUAAAUGAUUAUUCUAAGUGUUAGGGGGUUUCCGCCCCUUAGUGCUGCAGCUAACGCAUUAAGCA
rnacentral:rRNA from 1 species